rnacentral:rRNA from 1 species
AGAGUUUGAUCAUGGCUCAGAUUGAACGCAGGCGGUAGGCCUAACACAUGCAAAUCGUAACGGUAACGGACCGCUGGGAUUCCUUCGGGAUGACCUUGGUGCCGACGAGUGGCGGACGGGUGAGUAACUCGUAGGAAUCUGCCACACAGUGGGGGACAACCCCGAGAAAUCCGGGCUAAUACCGCAUUCCCCCUACCGGGGAAAACGGGGGACUUUCGGGCCUCGCGCUGUUUGAGGAGCCUGCGUCCGAUUAGCUUGUUGGUGAGGUAUAGGCUCUCCAUGGCGACAAUCCUUAGCUGGUCUGAGACGAUGAU